rnacentral:other from 2 species
CUAUUCCUACGAUGCACGUUAUGCCCUAUUUGUUUUGAACCGUACUGUUUAAUCGGGAUUCUUAUAUUUGUUAACUGAUGCCAUGCCUGUCUAUAAAACAGGAUCGCAGGAAUGUUAACAUGCGGAAACCCACCUGCGAGAUCGCGGGUUCACAAAACAGAUUGGGAAGACGACAUAAGUGGGAACUAU